rnacentral:misc_RNA from 1 species
AAGUCGUAACAAGGUUUCCGUAGGUGAACCUGCGGAAGGAUCAUUAACACGUAUCCAACGUUAAACAACCCUGUUAACCUUGAACGCGCUCCUGCAGCCCCAUGAAAUCAGCAAUCCCUGGUAAAUCAUUGUUGACCAGCUUUUGAGUCAGGGACCUCUGCCGAAACGGCUGUUCAGUACCGAGCGCGGUGUAAGCGACCUGGCAUCGUGUCUGAAAGUGUCAUUGAUUGUGUAAGGAUGGCGCAGUAAACGAUUGCUAGAGGCCCACACGGCCGGCAACCGGGUCCCAGGGCUUACGCCCCUUUAUCACCCCACAGUUUCCGACUGGGCAGCCAUCUUGGUUCUC